GCUAACACACGACGUAACAGUUACGUAACGUACUGGUAAUUUUUGGUAAUUCCAUGACUUACCAAUUGACAACGUAACUACGACGUCGCAUUCCCGUAAUUUUAUUACCAUCACAUUACCAACUCGCAACGUCGUCAGUACGUCCUUCCAACGUGACCAGAUAACCAAGAACGUCCCAGACAGGUCCUCUGUUGGUAAUAUAUUGGUAACUUCAUGACUUACUGGCAACGUAACUACAACGUCGUAUGCACGUAAUAUCAUUACAAUAUUUUUUGUACGUUCUUUAUAUGCUCUCUGAGUAUAGAGCUAUUUAAAAAGUGUGAUUAAACUUCAGACACAAGAUUAAACGUUAAAGAUAAAAUAUGUUUAUUUUCAACAAGUCAGAAUAUGGACAUGCUUUUAAGCUUUUAAUGACGUGACAUAGAGUCGCGCGCUUCCACAACUGACGCACCGCGCGCACAGUAUUGACAAGAAAAGAGUUGUGAAACUUUCUAUCUCGUAUGGAGUUAUAACGUGAAAUAAUGACACAGACUGGCUCAUCAUCUCAUCUGCAGCAGAGACUGUUGUAUCAGAAGGACAGCGCGUUUGUUUGACGCACUUUUCACUUCAACUGUGUCUGACAGGAGAAUUUAUCUUUCUGAGGUGAGUCUUACAAUUUAUAAUAAAUAAGUGGGUUGAUAAAAUGUAUAAAACAAAGUAAAAACAAAAGUCUAACGUCGCUAAAACCUUUUUUUAUUAUUUUAUUGUUUUUAUUGGCCUUCUAGCCGUUGAGUUACCAUGGCAACCGCGUACACAUCAGCUGCUGGAGAGGAGAGGACUCGUCUGACAUUUUCUCUGUUUGUCGUCAGUUAUACCAAAGAAAAGGCCAACAAUGCGACAGAUUUGUUAAGUAACACGUUAAUAUUAUCCACAGUCUACUUUAAGUACUUUUUAUUAAUAUUUAUACCUCUGUGAUUAUGGUAUUUUUCUUGAAAUGUCUGCUAUCAAGUAUUACGCUAGCAUAGAAACAUAAUUAACGUUAUAGCAUAUUAGAUUUGAGCUCUUAAUGAAAGUUUGGGCUUCUAAUUACCUCUUAUGCGUAAAGGAUCGGUUUUGAUUGCUUUGUAAAUGUUUUUGAUGGUAAUUUGUCAAUAGAUAAAUGAAGUAAAGUUAAGCUAAUUAAUUUAACCUAAAAGUCUGCACUGUAGAGUCUAUCAGUGACGUCACUUGCGGUCUAAAAUGGGCUGAAACUAUUUCAUACCACUGUUUCAAGCUUGUUCUGAUUUAUCAUUGUAAACAAAUAUUGAUAAAACAUUUUUUACAGUGAUUUCAGGAGUGUCUUAAAAACCCUCUAAAACAGAAGGGAAGUUCCAAGAAAAUGUCUAAUGGGAGCUGCUGACAGAGAUAGAAAACACAGUUUGUUUAUUUCUAAUAAGGAGCUGGAGGCCGUGAAGAUACAGAUCCAUGAUAUUGUGGAGAAGCAGGCCCAGCUGAGCGAGUGGAGAGCUGUGCUGGAAAUAUUCAGGGGUUGAUGCUCAUAAGUCCAGGGUAAGUAUACAGCUAACCCUCCUACCACCUCUACUCUGUGUGGUUCUCUGCAAAGGCCCGGUGUACCCAAGACACGAUCUUCCCAGCUGUCCUUCACCGUAUUUAACAGUGUAAGACAUGAACCAGGCCCUGGGCAACGACCUCUCUCCAUCCGCCGUCUUCAGGAUCUCCACCAGAACCUGAUUCGCUCCACUUCGCGAGACAGAACACAACGCUGUGAUCAUCGGAGACUCCAUCGUCCGGCACGUUCGUGCUAUGUUAGCUGAAGGUAAAGUCCACACUCACUGUUUCCCUGGUGCUCAUGUUCUUGAUAUUUCUGCACAGAUUCCCGUGAUCCUGAAGGGUGAGGGGAGCAUCGGAGUGGACAUGCUUCACGCCGGCGUUAACGACACAAUGCUGCGGCAGACGGAGACACUGAAGAGAGACUUCAGGAGCCUGAUCGAGACGGUGCGCAGCACAUCACCUGCAUGAUGAUCAUCGUGUCAGGACCACUUCCCAUAUAUAGACGAGGACAUGAAAGGUUCAGCAGACUUUUUGCUUUAAACGAAUGGUUAUUGUCAUGGUGUAAAGAACAGAAACUGCUUUUUGUUAAUAAUUGGGAUCUUUUCUGGGAGCGUCCUAGGCUUUUUAGAUCUCCUGUUGGACAACAUCUCCAGGACACGUCGCUCCAUAUGACUAGGCAGUUUGUGAAGACAGAUAAUCAGGAGAAGUCAGUUCUAGAUCCACCCUCCACACCAGACCUCUCUCUCACAAGGAUUGCUGUCUACUAGCAUAUUGUGUUCUCUUCAGACUUCAGGGGAUGCAGAUAUUACUCAGGGACACGAACACUUGAAUAUUGAAAGAAUAGAGAAAGUAAGAUAUAUUAUAUAUAUAUUUUGAUAUAUUUUUGUGGCAGUGUGUACUGGCCAUAAUGCUGUAUGAUAGGUGUGAGAUUCAUUAAACUUGAUUUGGUAUAAUACAUCUGUUCAUAAGCUAUUGGAUAUUAAUUUCAAUUAAUUAUUUAUAGUGGUUUGGUUAAGGGUGUGAUUAGCUGAUGUAUUAUUGGGGGAGCUUGUGAUUAGUUGAUGAAUGUGUGCAUUGCUAAUGAUAAUAUUUAAAUGCAAUGUGCUGAGUGCUUACUAAGACUUGCAUGUUUGUGCAUAAUGUUUUGACCCUGGAUGCUUACAGAAGGGUAUAGAUAUUUAAAAAUAUGGAAAUGUAUUUAUUAUUAAUAUAUCUCAAUCUAUGUGCUUCUGUUUGGGCUGAAUGCUUUCAUUCAUAUGUCGCUGUAUAUCCUGUUUUUAUUAAUAAUCUGGGUGUAUUAUUGUUCAUAUUUGCUUGUUAAUAAAUUAACUGAAUUCA